rnacentral:rRNA from 1 species
UACGUAGGUGGCAAGCGUUGUCCGGAUUUACUGGGCGUAAAGGGCGUGCAGGCGGUUUGUUAAGUGCAGGGUGAAAGCUCCCGGCUCAACUGGGAGAGGUCCUUGCAUACUGGCAAACUCGAGGGAGGCAGAGGAAAGUGGAAUUCCCGGUGUAGUGGUGAUAUGCGUAGAUAUCGGGAGGAACACCAGUGGCGAAGGCGGUUGCCUGGAGCUUUGCUGACGCUGAGGCGCGAAAGCGUGGGGAGCGAGUCCGG